UCAAGCAUGGUGUUAAAGUCAUUUUCCAUCAUACAUGAUAGCUUGGCUGUCAUCCUCCUUUCUUCUACCAUGUACACUGGUUCCAGGGUGCAUUCCAGGUGAAAGCUGAUCUUCUUCAUCAUUUUAUCCAGUCUCUUCCCGUCUUCAUCAUAGAUGCUGCUGCCCCAGCAGACAACCCAAAAAAAUAGCAGAUUCCACCACAGACUCAAAUUUACACCCAGACUAAAUGGUGAAGGAAUGUUGUUGUGGUCUCAAAAUAGUGUUCAUCACUGAUGGAUUUUAGAAUUGUUAAAUGCAGUCCAUUCUACUUACCCAGAUAAUUCAUUAUCAUGCUCAUUGUCACAGUGUACAGUCCACCAGGCACUAAUUCAAGGGUAGAGCAAAGGUAACUAUACAGGGCUCUACAAAAAGCAGCACCAUAUGUGAUCACAUGACAGAAAAGGCUUGUAUUUUUGGUCUUUUUUGUAUUUUUUCCCCCAGUUGUGCCCUGUCUGUCUUAGAUUUACAUCCAAUCUGUUUUGCAAACUAUCAAAAUGGAGGAGGAGGAGGAGGUUUGCAUUUAAUCAUCUUCUAAAGAAGAUAAAUAGUAACUCCGUUAGUCAGAUACUGCAGAACAUCUCUGAAAGACACUGAGAACUAUAGAAGCUACAACAUUGAGAGUUUACCUCCUUCAUAUUUCAGUGAGUUUCAACACAUCAGUGAUGGAACAGCGUCUGUUCAUGCUCCUGUGUUUCACAGGAGCCGUCCCUCUCGUCCUGUCUGUCCCUAUUUACUUUCUGAUCCAGCAGGGGAAAACAUGGAGUGAUGCUCAGGCUUACUGUCGAACUGAAUACACUGAUCUGGCUAUCAUCAAAACCAGUUAUGAAAUGAGUCAAUUUCAGUAUGAAUUACAGGGACAAAAAUUCAGUUCCAGUGCUUGGAUUGGACUGUACGAUGCCAUUAACAGCUGGCGCUGGUCCAUGGGAAAUGAGCCACUGGGAAGUGCGAAACUGUGGAAUUCAGGACAGCCUGACAACUGGGCGAGUAGUGAAUCGUGUGUUGUGUUGUACGGUUCUGGAUGGUCUGAUAUACCAUGUAGUUCCGCAUACCCCUUUGUGUGCUUCGAUGGUAAGGAACAGCAUUUUUUUUUGUCAGGAGAGAAGGAUAUCAUAAUAAAAACAGUGUCGAAAG